CUUCUGGUAGCACAGCUGAAUUGCCUUCACCUGUGCUCCUACAGCUGACUCAUUGCUUGCUUCAGGUGUUUAAUCAGAGGUUCAGGCUGUUUCCCAUACGCUCUGGAAUGUGGGAAUUCUACAGGUCAAACUGAUAAUUUACUAUUGCUUUUUAUCUUGGCAUUGAUUUUUGCCUGUGCAACUUCUUCAGGAUGCUGCAAUAUGGCACAAAGAAUAAGCCAGUAAGUCCAUUAUAAUCCUUAUUCCUCAGAGGUCGUAUAGGUGGAAAGGUUUUGUUCUACAGCUUUGUAAGUAGCAAAAGCUCUAUGUAGUAAAAGAAAUGCAAGAAGGGAUGAUCAACAUGUUACUUCUGUGUGGUGUUUCUGGAGCAGCUGACACAGUGCGCUGUGUCUGGGUGGAGUCAGCUUGCUGUGUCUGAAUAGCACAGGAGGCCAAUGCAGACCAUUAGCAGCAACUGAACAGCGGGAUGACAGCAGUGCACUCAUGGAAAGCUAUGCAGAUCUCAGCUGCAGAGGUGAAAUGCAAAGCAGGGACUUCCCUUAACAUGCAGAAGCCCAUUGCUGUCUAUGGAAAAGCAUUAUUUCUGAUUACUACCAACUGAAAACCAUCUGGGUUUGUGUCAGGGAUGUUGUUAUGUUUGUUUGUUUGUUUGUUUGUUUUAAUGCAUAUAGCUGAAGAAGGUGCUAAUCUUCUGUAUCAUAAAGCGUGGCACUGCAUAAGAAGUUACUGAGAGCUUUUCCCUUUAGGCCAUAGGGGUUCAAGGAACAAGCAUGGCCUAUUUGAGCCAGGAGAGAGAAUUUACGAAGACUGUGAACAAUUUCUUAAUGGCUGUACAACGCCUUGCUUGCUGAAGGUGAUUUACCAUUAGUUGGAUGUGGAAGUGAGCAGUACUAUAAAACUUUCAUAACAGCCCAGAAACUUGAAAUUGCUCUGGUUAGUACAACAUCUGUAAGAAAAGAUAAUAAAGAGUGGGUGAAGACAAGGAGCGGAAAGGUGAUUUUUUUUAUAUUAUCCAAUGAAAAAAAGCCUCAGCAAAGUAGCCACAUUGAGGAAGACCUGUGCACUUUUCUCAACAGAAUUUUUCUUUCUGUAUUUUCUAUAGUAGUGUAGCAGUCAGACAGCAGGAAUCUUUGGUCCCAUGUGGAUGUUUAAUGUGCUAUCUUUAAAAAAAUAUAUUUUCUCCUCAUGCUGGUAUUUUUGUUGUUUGGGCAUCGUUUUUGUUGCUUUACCAAAUUUUACUGGAUGAAGACUAUUACCUGUCCCAUUUUCAGUGGACGUGAGCAUUUGAUUGCCAACAUUCAGCAUAACUAAGUGGAAGAUUGGUAUUUCAUCCAUUCUCAGUUCUCAGAAAACUGCUGAAAAUGUCAUGUCUGAAGACGAGGAGAAAAAGAGAUGAGCUUUUCCAAAGACACUGCUCCUGUGAAGUCCAAGUGGGUCAGCCUGCCUAUGAAAGAGAGAUUAUCGCUUAAUGUUUAUCACAGUAUCACAGUCUCAUGCGGGUUGGAAGGGACCAUAGAGAUCAUCGAGUCCAACCCCCGGGAUUCGAGCCUCUGUGCGGCAGAGCAGCACUUCUACCACUUGUGCCACAGGGGGAUUUGAAUCCGGGCCUCCGAUGUUGCAAGCGGCACUUCUACCACUGCGCCAAUGGGUGGGAAGGACAAAGUGUUGUCAUUAUUAAGUUCAUAGAAGUCCUAAUAUGAGCUGGAGUAGGAAUGUUUGCAAAUGAGAAAGAAGAUGGUUACAGUACAUGACUCUUAGAUUAUACUUCUUGAUACUUUUUUUUUUUUCACUCUCCUGUAACUCACAAGAUGUGCAGAACAACUUAAUAAAUGUCCCUUUUAAUAAUAGUUCUGGCUGCCGGAGCUGAGAUGAACUGAAGUUAAAAUGGAAAGGCUUUUGAAGAAAGAAGAAAACAACCAGAAAAAUUAUGCAAUUCUGCUUUUGUCCAAAAUGCUGAGAACAUAAAGAUGCAAUCUAUGGAUGUGA